rnacentral:miRNA from 1 species
UGUUGGGUUGGAGAGAGAUUUCACCAAAUUUUGCACCAAAAAUUUGGUGCAAUGUCUCUCCAACCCAAUA